GGGAUUUGGCAUGGGCGCAGCCUGNCCAGCCAUGCCGCGUGGUGAUGAAGGCCCUAGGGUUGUAAAGUCCUUUCGGCGGGGAAGAUAAUGACGGUACCCGCAGAAGAAGCCCCGGCUAACUUCGUGCCAGCAGCCGCGGUAAUACGAAGGGGGCUAGCGUUGCUCGGAAUCACNUGGGCGUAAAGCGCACGUAGGCGGCUUUCUAAGUCAGAGGUGAAAUCCUGGAGCUCAACUCCAGAACUGCCUUUGAUACUGGAGAGCUUGAGUCCGGGAGAGGUGAGUGGAACUGCGAGUGUAGAGGUGAAAUUCGUAGAUAUUCGCAAGAACACCAGUGGCGAAGGCGGCUCACUGGCCCGGUACUGACGCUGAGGUGCGAAAGCGUGGGGAGCAAACAGGAUUAGAUACCCUGGUAGUCCACGCCGUAAACGAUGGAUGCUAGCCGUUGUCGGGUUUACCCGUCAGUGNCGCAGCUAACGCAUUAAGCAUCCCGCCUGGGGAGUACGGUCGCAAGAUUAAAACUCAAAAAAAUUGACGGA
rnacentral:rRNA from 1 species